rnacentral:lncRNA from 1 species
AUGUUGUCAUUUAAGCUGUUCAGCCAACCACGGAUAAUCUCAAAUCACCAAUGUGAUUGGUCACUUUAUCCAUGUUUAUCACUGAAGGCCAUGGAAAUUAACAAAGGUGCUUUUUUGAAUGUUAUCAGUUAACUGAAAUUUGUUAGUGGAUUAGAUCUCUUUCUCAGUGCACAUUCAUGAUGAUAGAACUGCAGGCAUAACCAUACAUUCUGAAGUAUUUCAGCAGUACCAAUAGAAUUUGUUGGUAAAGGAAUUUUUUUCAGUGAAAACUCAUGAAGUAAGAAAGCGUUGAUGUUUGUUUAAAGCCUUAAUGCGGCAGUCGGAGAAACAGGAAAUUACCUGACUUUCAAAGCAUGUGAAGCAAGGGUGAAAAUCCGAAGCCAUCUUGAUUCAAUAUUUCAAACUUAGUUUGGUCACUCUGCAGAAUCUACAAUGGCAUCUUUCAGCAAGAUUUUAAAUUUACUCUGCUACCAUUGGACAAGAAAAAGCACGGAUAUAGACAGCUCCAGCUUCAAUAUUAUACAGAAAAUUUCUAGUUUAUACACACCUGUAACGUGACAGAUUCUUGAACAGGGUUUUGUAUAAUAAACUCUAGUUGACGCCUUAAUAUAAAUUACAGAAAAAAAAACUGAUUUGAAAACUGUAAAGCAUUUAGGUACUGCUGGAAUUUGAGGUAUGUGCAUCAGUAAGGCUUAAGACGAACAAUAUUAUGUGAAGGGGUAUGCAAUUUAUGCAUAGUUGAUGUAUUUAAUUAAAGAAAUCAUGGUUUGUA